rnacentral:lncRNA from 1 species
CAAAACCUCUGUUUAUUCAUUAAGCAUUAACCACUUUAUGCCAAAAACAGAGAGGAGGCUUGGCAGUGGACUUUCAGCUGACUUUUCGCCGGGUAUAAAUGUUGCCCAAGGAACACGGCAACAGUAGGUCUGUCUGGGACAAAGCAGACCACAGGGCAGCCUGCCGUGGCAUGCGCAGGCUGAGGUGCCGUUCUUUUGUGUGCCGGGAGAAGCAGAACCUUUUAAUGAGCGUUUGGCUUUUAUUUGGAAAGGUGGUUGCCCUCUUGUGCAGUGAGGCGCGGAAGCUGAGGCAACAGGGAUUCUCUAUGAGCCAAGGAGCAUGUGUGCAUGUGGCGGAUCACAGAUCAAUGCAAACAAAUUCCCGUCGGUUCCGAUCAAGGGUAAGAGAUCAAUGGAACAACAAAAAUGACGUUUAGGAGGAGGCUUGAGAAACCCCACUCUGCUAUCAGUCACUGGCUAGAAUCGUACCAUGGGAAUUAUUUUUAGAACCAAGCAGCUACAUAAUUUGGAAAGGGGAAGUCACUCCCAAGACAGAGCAACCAACCCUUUCAUUUUACAAAUGAGGAAACUGAGGCUCCCAGAGCCGAAGAGACUUGCCCAAGGUCACACGACUAAUCAGUGGCAGAAUCCGGACUCAACCACACGUCUCCUGACAGAAGUGGCACAGGUUCUCCUGUGCUGUACUGCCUUCCUCUCUGGGCUUCUCUAAAUCAGGGACAGCUAGAAGUGUAGCUUUGAAAUCAAACAGGAGACUCUACAUGUACAGAAUUUUAUGUGGAAAGAAUGGAAUCUGCAGGGAAGAAGAAAAUGCCAUAGAAAGAAGAGAAUAAACCAAAGUGGGAGAAAGAGAAUAAAAAAAAUAAAUGAAAACAGACAGGAUAUUCCAACCAUGAUGGUCAAGGAGCCAUUCUCAAGACAAGAUGCCACAUUCAUUACCAGGGUCUUCAAGGGUUUAACACCUAUGGGGGCCCCAUAAGGUAAACAAAAACCACAGCGGUUACUCCACUUCCCAGCUCUUACAUCUCCAUGGCACCGAGCAUCAGCGUAUUCGUAAAAAGCCCAAUUAAUUGUCCAUGAGCAUUCCUGAUACUUCCUGCAAAUACACUAGGUCUCUAAAACAAAGUAAAUACACACUUGGUUCAGACAGGUUUCUUUUUCUUUGCAAAAUGACACCUCAGCGACAUAAAAGUUAGUCCUGAUGCACAGGAGAAGGGAGGCAAAAUAAACACAAGCCCAGCAUUUCUUUGAGGAUGGUGGAGUGGAGCGUUACUAAACACACAGAGAACCUUCCGAAGCUGAGGCCAAAACAUUCGAUUUAGCAGUUUGCUUCUGGGGUUUGAUGUGACCGGGGGGCCACUGAUGUGUAUUCUGAGCUCUCAGGUCAAAGGUCCAUAUCGUGCCUUUGAAAGGCCUCCUUCAAAGACCCUCUCAAAAACAAAUCAACAAAGCCCAUUGCCUACCCUGCAACAUGCACGCUAUCACUCGGGAGGCAUCUGCAAAAAGGGCUUUGGAAAUGUGAGCAGAGAGAACCCAGCAGUUGGAGGAUGCCUGAGAGCUCUCUUUCAAUUUUUCCUGGGCCAUAAGAAGUGUAUUUCCCACAGCUGCUGAAUCUUUGCUUCUUAUCAUGCAACAUAACUUACCCCAGUGCCUAGCGCAGUGCCAGCCACUUCACAGAUGGUCACCAAUGGUUGCAGAAUGAGUCCUUCUAGGAAAAGGUGUCAGGGCUGAGCCCAAGCCGUAUGGAAUAAAGCUCUAAGCCAUAUCGUCAUGACUGUGGCCCUGUGGCCCUUCUAGUGACGACAAUAAAGACUGAGCCCUCCUGCUGUGACUGUACAGGGCUAAGCACCUUCCCUGCUUCUUGUCUUUCUGAGACACAGACCUCUAUCAGGGAGCCCUUGGGAAGGAGACUUGAAAUAAAACAAGAUUUCUAUGGGUCCAGGAUGAAGAUGGGGAACGGGAAGGCAAGAAAUUUUGGGAAGGCUGGCUAUUUUUUUGGAGGCCACUUUUAUUGUCUUCUACUUUAUACAGGAUACUCAGUUUGAUUUACACUCCCCUGUCUCUGAAUAAGCCAAGAAGCCCCAAAAUGUUUCAUGAUAUUAAAUUAACUGCUCUAAUUUCCCCAGGAAGCUCGAAUUUCGGCAAACAAUAUGAGUGCUAAAAUGAUACCAGAGUCCAUUUAGAGAGGAAUCCUCCGACAAGCACUAAAUGCAGACUCCCCGAGAGCAGCUUUCUGACUACUGUAUUUUUAUACUCUGAGAAUAUAAACAAGGCAGAAAGGAAAGCCAGCGUGAGUGAGGACUUAAAAUAAUCUCCGCAAACGGCAGACUGGGAGAUAGCACUUUUGAAAGAAUUCCCAUUAGUAAGCAUAAUAUACUCCUAUUAUCACAGUUCAUCUCUUUCAAUUACAAUGUGAAAUUUCGUAAUUGAAGCAGGAUUAGAAAUGUUUUUGUGCUUCAGAAAUUAAAGCAGCCUAUCUAAAUCCUUUACAAAGGGUUAAAAAACUGACUACAAUUUAAAAAGCUUCUAACUAUCUCCCAACAGUAACCAAAAAAAGAAGAAAGAGAUAAAGAAAGAAGGAAAAGAAAAAGAAUUUUUUUUAAAUUCAGGAUUUCAAUGAUGCAUUUAAGUCCCCAUGAAGAAUACCUUGAAAAUAGAUAUCUUCAGAAAUAGGCUUUGGGUAUCUGGAAGAAAAGUCGAAUUCCAAACUAGGUAUCUACAUGCAAGGUCUGCACAUCAGGGGAUACCCAUCCAGUUGUUCAUUCCUCAUCCAGAUGUUCUGGGGGCCCAGCAUCUCAUCAGGUGGAUGGUUAAACUUAGCCUGAGGGCACUGUCCCUCCAGAGGCCCCAAAUCCAGCAGCAGCGUUCUGCUCUGAGCUUCUGUUCAUGUUCCUCCUCAUGCUAAAUGGGAGAAGUAGCUAAGGCUCAGCACCCUUUAGAGUUUAACAAUUUGCUAAUUUCUGAAUAAAUCUAUCCCUACCAAAUGUGCCAAAUAAGUGUGGGGACUUCUGCAUGAAAUUCACAAGGGAAGCCUUACUAGAAACCCAAAGCAAGUCAACAGUCAUGAAAUCCAACAAGGAAUUAACCCAUAAGAGUAACAUAGUACUAUUAGAUGUUCACACUGUCUUAGGUACUCAGGAUGAAGAAUAAAGUAUAAGACACGCUUUGAAAAUAUUUGGAAGAAAGUUGCCACCUCUGGUUUUCACAGCUGAAUUAUACUGAAAGGUUUAAGGGAAUUUAAACACCUAAACUAUAAUAAUUUGAAUUAGUUUUUGAUGAAAUAUAUAUAUGUUCAUCAAUGUACAUAUUUGAAGUAUUCUUUUUCUAGACGGAGGAGAAAUAGAAUAUUGUAACUGUAAAAAGAAAACCAGGGGAAUCCCUGCUUUCAUGAACCAAGGCAGAAGACAAAAUGUGAAGCAGCCUUGACAUGCUAUUUCUUUCCUCCCUAUUAUCCAAUUGUCCUUUAAGCAGAGAAUAGGAAAUCUAGAAGCGCUUUUGAAGGUUGUUUUUUUUUAUGACAGUUUAACAUUCUAAAAAAUCAUUAUUGAAGAACAAAUUAUAGAAGCAUUUGUCUGCUGCUAGCUGGGGUCUUUGAAAAAAAUAAAGCUCAAGGUUAUUUUAACUGACAAAAGGAAAAAAAUUAUCUUCAAAAGAAACGCAUAUACUUCAUAUAACUGAGUACUGGUUACACUUCCUCAGAGAAAUCAAACACUUGAUCUAAGCCACAAUCUGCUAAUGAAUUGUCACUGCUUCUCAUCAUUUGAGGGCUACUGUAAUUCUACAUUAAAACAACAUCUCAAAUGAGCAAAAGGAGGUGAAUCUAUCAUUUUGCUCAUUUUGUACACUUGCCCACCAGACCCUAGAAUACAUAUAGAUAUGUUUACUGAUUCAUGAAUUAUUUAAGUAUCCACAAAGACCCCUGUCUAUAAAACUGACAACUCUUAUGCCUAUUUUUCCUACAUAUGUAGUUACAUGUAAUAUUGUGUCCAUGUAAAUACAAAUAUAUAUAACUGGUAAAGCAAUUGUUG